GAUGAACGCUGGCGGCGUGCUUAACACAUGCAAGUCGAACGGAAAGGCUCCUGCUUGCAGGGGUACUCGAGUGGCGAACGGGUGAGUAACACGUGGGUGAUCUGCCCUGCACUUCGGGAUAAGCCUGGGAAACUGGGUCUAAUACCGGAUAGGACGAUGGUUUGGAUGCCAUUGUGGAAAGUUUUUCGGUGUGGGAUGAGCUCGCGGCCUAUCAGCUUGUUGGUGGGGUAAUGGCCUACCAAGGCGUCGACGGGUAGCCGGCCUGAGAGGGUGUACGGCCACAUUGGGACGGAGAUACGGCCCAGACUCCUACGGGAGGCAGCAGUGGGGAAGAUUGCACAAUGGGAGCAAGCCUGAUGCAGCGACGCCGCGUGGGGGAUGACGGCCUUCGGGUUGUAAACUCCUUUCGCUAGGGACGAAGCGCAAGUGACGGUACCUGGAGAAGAAGCACCGGCUAACUACGUG
rnacentral:rRNA from 1 species